rnacentral:rRNA from 1 species
UGAGGAAUAUUGGUCAAUGGACGAGAGUCUGAACCAGCCAAGUAGCGUGAAGGAUGAAGGUUCUAUGGAUUGUAAACUUCUUUUAUACGGGAAUAAACGGAUCCACGUGUGGAUUUUUGCAUGUACCGUAUGAAUAAGGAUCGGCUAACUCCGUGCCAGCAGCCGCGGUAAUACGGAGGAUCCGAGCGUUAUCCGGAUUUAUUGGGUUUAAAGGGAGCGUAGAUGGGUUGUUAAGUCAGUUGUGAAAGUUUGCGGCUCAACCGUAAAAUUGCAGUUGAUACUGGCAGUCUUGAGUACAGUUGAGGUAGGCGGAAUUCGUGGUGUAGCGGUGAAAUGCUUAGAUAUCACGAAGAACUCCGAUUGCGAAGGCAGCUUACUAACCUGUAACUGACAUUGAUGCUCGAAAGUGUGGGUAUCAAACAGGAUUAGAUGCCCUGGUAGUCCACACGGUAAACGAUGAAUACUCGCUGUAGGCGAUAUACAGUCUGCGGCCAAGCGAAAGCAUUAAGUAUUCCACCUGGGGAGUACGCCGGCAACGGUGAAACUCAAAGGAAUUGACGGGGGCCCGCACAAGCGGAGGAACAUGUGGUUUAAUUCGAUGAUACGCGAGGAACCUUACCCGGGCUUAAAUUGCAGACGAAUUACCUGGAAACAGGUAAGCCGCAAGGCGUCUGUGAAGGUGCUGCAUGGUUGUCGUCAGCUCGUGCCGUGAGGUGUCGGCUUAAGUGCCAUAACGAGCGCAACCCUCGUGGCCAGUUACUAGCAGGUAACGCUGAGGACUCUGGCCAGACUGCCAUCGUAAGAUGCGAGGAAGGUGGGGAUGACGUCAAAUCAGCACGGCCCUUACGUCCGGGGCUACACACGUGUUACAAUGGGAGGUACAGAAGGCAGCUACCCGGCGACGGGAUGCCAAUCUCCAAAGCCUCUCUCAGUUCGGACUGGAGUCUGCAACCCGACUCCACGAAGCUGGAUUCGCUAGUAAUCGCGCAUCAGCCACGGCGCGGUGAAUACGUUCCC